UACAGAGGUCUCAAGCGUUGUUCGGAUUCAUUGGGCGUAAAGGGUGCGUAGGUGGCAUGGUAAGUCGGGUGUGAAAUCCCCGGGCUCAACCCGGGAACUGCUUCUGAUACUGGCGGACUUGAGGCCAGUAGGGGUCACUAGAACUGACGGUGGAGCGGUGAAAUGCGUAGAUAUCGUCAGGAAUGCCGGUGGUGAAGACGGGUGACUGGGCUGGUUCUGACACUGAGGCACGAAAGCGUGGGGAGCGAACGGG
rnacentral:rRNA from 1 species